AUCGCUUCUCGGCCUUUUGGCUAAGAUCAAAGUGUAGUAUCUGUUCUUUUCAGCUUAAUAUCUGAAAGUUCCCUCACUGAGGGACCAGGGGGCGUAGCCGAAUUACAUUCGCUCCGUAUCGAUUCGAUCUCUACGAUCGCAAGCGACUGGUCGAUAAUGUUUACAAUAACCUAGCCAAGAGGCAAUCUUUU